UGAGGAAUAUUGGUCAAUGGGCGAGAGCCUGAACCAGCCAAGUCGCGUGAGGGAAGACGGUCCUAUGGAUUGUAAACCUCUUUUGUCAGGGAGCAAAAGAUAUCACGUGUGAUAUAUCGAGAGUACCUGAAGAAAAAGCAUCGGCUAACUCCGUG
rnacentral:rRNA from 1 species